rnacentral:rRNA from 1 species
GACAGAGGUGCCAAGCGUUAGGCGGAAUCACUGGGCUUAAAGCGUGUGUAGGCGGAAUGGUAAGUACCUUGUGAAAUCCCACGGCUCAACCGUGGAACUGCUCGGUAUACUGCUUUUCUUGAGCCACUUAGGGGCUGUCGGAACAAACGGUGGAGCGGUGAAAUGCGUAGAGAUCGGGAGGAAGGCCGGUGGCGAAGGCGGCGCUCUGGAACGUACCUGACGCUGAGACACGAAAGCGUGGGGAGCAAACAGG